GAUGAACGCUGGCGGCGUGCCUAAUACAUGCAAGUCGAGCGAACAGACGAGGAGCUUGCUCCGUCGACGUUAGCGGCGGACGGGUGAAUAACACGUAGGUAACCUACCUAUAAGACUGGGAUCACUUCGGGAAACCGGAGCUAAUACCGGAUAAUAUUUCGAACCGCAUGGUUCGAUAGUGAAAGAUGGCUUUGCUAGCACUUAUCGAUGCACCUGGGCCGUAUUAGCUAGUUGGUAAGGUCACGGCCUACCAAGGCGAGGAUUCGUAGCCGACGUGAGAGGGUGGUCGGCCGCACGAGAGCGGAGCCAGGCACCAGGGGCCUGCGGGAGGGCGCAGACGCGAACGUUCCGCAGCAGGGGGAAAUCUGGCGGAGUGAGCGCGCGUGAGAUGUGGAGGCGUCCCGUGCGGAAAACCGGGUUAUGGGUUGAAAACCACUUUCGAAUGUAACGUAGCCGGAGUGACGGUAACUGACCAGAAAGCCACGGCUAACUACGUG
rnacentral:rRNA from 1 species